UGGGGAAUUGUUCGCAAUGGGCGCAAGCCUGACGACGCAACGCCGCGUGGAGGAUGAAGGUCUUCGGAUUGUAAACUCCUGUUGCCCGGGACGAAAAGCUCCGACCUAACACGUUGGAGUCUGACGGUACCGGGUGAGGCAGCCCCGGCUAACUUCGUGCCAGCAGCCGCGGUAAUACGAAGGGGGCUAGCGUUGUUCGGAAUCACUGGGCGUAAAGGGCGCGUAGGCGGCGCGACAAGUCAGGCGUGAAAGCCCCGGGCUCAACCCGGGAAUUGCGCUUGAUACUGUCGUGCUUGAGGCCGGGAGAGGAUGGCGGAAUUCCCAGUGUAGAGGUGAAAUUCGUAGAUAUUGGGAAGAACACCGGUGGCGAAGGCGGCCAUCUGGACCGGUUCUGACGCUGAGGCGCGAAAGCGUGGGGAGCAAA
rnacentral:rRNA from 1 species